AGAGUUUGAUCCUGGCUCAGGACGCACGCUGGCGGCGUGCCUAACACAUGCAAGUCGAGCGAGGACGGGGUCUUCGAACUUCGAGCCGAGCGGCGGACGGGUGAGUAACACGUGAGCAACCUAUCCCUGUGCGGGGGACAACCCGGGGAAACUCGGGCUAAUACCGCAUGGACGGACCUUUCGCAUGGAGGGUUCGGGAAAGGCGGCCUCUUAGCAAUGCUGCCGUGCGGGGAGGGGCUCGCGGCCUAUCAGCUAGUUGGCGGGGUAAUGGCCCACCAAGGCGACGACGGGUAGCGGGUCUGAGAGGAUGGCCCGCCACAUUGGGACUGAGACACGGCCCAGACUCCUACGGGAGGCAGCAGUGGGGAAUCUUGCGCAAUGGCCGAAAGGCUGACGCAGCGACGCCGCGUGCGGGGGGAAGCCCUUCGGGGUGUAAACCGCUGUCAGGGGGGAAGAAACCC
rnacentral:rRNA from 1 species